AUUGAACGCUGGCGGCAAGCCUAACACAUGCAAGUCGAACGAGUGGCGGACGGGUGAGUAAUGUCUGGGAACCUGCCUGAUGGAGGGGGAUAACUACUGGAAACGGUAGCUAAUACCGCCUACCCUCGUAUAUGCCCAGUUGGGAUUAGCUAGUAGGUGGGGUAAAGGCUCACCUAGGCGACGAUCCCUAGCUGGGCUGAGAGGAUGACCAGCCACACUGGAACUGAGACACGGUCCAGACUCCUACGGGAGGCAGCAGUGGGGAAUAUUGCACAAUGGGCGAAAGCCUGAUGCAGCCAUGCCGCGUGUAUGAAGAAGGCCUUCGGGUUGUAAAGUACUUUCAGCGGGGAGGCGUUACCCGCAGAAGAAGCACCGGCUAACUCCGUGCCAGCAGCCGCGGUAAUUC
rnacentral:rRNA from 1 species